rnacentral:rRNA from 1 species
UACAGAGGUCUCAAGCGUUGUUCGGAUUCAUUGGGCGUAAAGGGUGCGUAGGCGGCGCGGUAAGUCGGGUGUGAAAUCUCGGAGCUUAACUCCGAAACUGCAUUCGAUACUGCCGUGCUUGAGGACUGGAGAGGAGACUGGAAUUUACGGUGUAGCGGUGAAAUGCGUAGAUAUCGUAAGGAAGACCAGUGGCGAAGGCGGGUCUCUGGACAGUUCCUGACGCUGAGGCACGAAGGCCAGGGGAGCAAAACAGG